UUUAAAGUGUUAAGUGGUU
rnacentral:siRNA from 1 species